rnacentral:rRNA from 1 species
GACGAACGCUGGCGGCGUGCUUAACACAUGCAAGUCGAACGGAAAGGCCCUGCUUUUGUGGGGUGCUCGAGUGGCGAAAGGGUGAGUAACACGUGAGUAACCUGCCCUUGACUUUGGGAUAACUUCAGGAAACUGGGGCUAAUACCGGAUAUGCGCUCCUGCUGCAUGGUGGGGGUUGGAAAGUUUCGGCGGUUGGGGAUGGACUCGCGGCUUAUCAGCUUGUUGGUGGGGUAGUGGCUUACCAAGGCUUUGACGGGUAGCCGGCCUGAGAGGGUGACCGGCCACAUUGGGACUGAGAUACGGCCCAGAAUCCUACGGGAGGCAGCAGUGGGGAAUAUUGCACAAUGGGCGGGAGCCUGAUGCAGCAACGCCGCGUGCGGGAUGACGGCCUUCGGGUUGUAAACCGCUUUCGCCUGUGACGAAGCGUGAGUGACGGUAAUGGGUAAAGAAGCACCGGCUAACUACGUG